AGCAUAUUGCCUACGCAGCAUAGUUAACAAUGGGUGAGAUAAACAGCUAAAAGCUAUAAUCAGUAAUUGCAAAAAGGAGAAAACUUUAGUACCUAGAUACUUAAUCAUCAACGGCUGUUUGCUGGUUUCAAUCUCUGUUUGUUUUGUUCUAUAUAUAUCUAUGUCCAUUAGAGAUAUGAUAUUUUUCAACCACUGGAUGGUAUUACCAAAAUUAGUUUCUAAAAGAGCUCUAUAUAAUUGGCUUAAGGAUUCCUGGCAGCCUAACCAGGUGAUUAAAGAAGGUCAUCUCCUGCCUGGUGCAGAAACCUCAAGAUAUGUUGGGAGUCUCAAGAAGAGAGGCAUUCACCCAAAUCUAUAGGUAUUACAGGCAGAGUGUGAUGGUAAGUAUUUGGUUUGGCUUUUUAGCUUUGAGAGGCUAUUAAAAGUUCAGUCUAGAGAUUCUUUAUGAAAAGUUCUAGCAAAGCAAGUUUAAAAGCACCUAUAUGAUCAAUUAGUAUUCUUGCUGUACUUAUGUAGAUAACUAAGGCAAGUUUAUUAAGACUAGACUUAUUUUGCAAACAAAUUAGUGGGUUUUUUUUAAGAUUGGCACCUGAGCUAACAUUUGUUGCCAAUCUUUCUUCUUCUUCUUCUUCUUCCCCCCAAAGUUCCCCAGUACAUACUUGAAUAUUCUAGUUGCAGGUCCUUCUAGUAGUACUCUUUGGGAUGCUGCCUCAGCAUGGCUUGAUGAGUGGUGCUAGGUCCACGCCCAGGAUCUGAACUGGCAAAACCCUGGGCCGCCAAAGCAGAGCACAGAAACUUAACCACUUGAUCAUGGGGCUGGCCCUGCAAACAAAUUAGUCUUAAUUUGACUAUCUUUGGUAAAAAAAAAAAAAAAAAAAAAAAGAGGAUGAUUUUAGACAGAAAAAUUAUGUUUCAGUAGAAACUAUAAUUCACACUUGUGGAAAUUAGAUUCUAGUGCUGUUAAUUUUCCUUGAAGUUUUAUUUACCUAAAAAGUGAACUGGAUCCUAAUUUCUUCUAGUUUCCUCCAAUAUCUAGCUACAACUCUCCAAACUAACAUUUCCAAUUUUUCUCCCACUUUUGACUUAGAAUCAUUGAGAACUAAAGCUUCCUUUUCCUGGAAGCCCUGUGAGCUGAAGCUGAACAAGUUGAUAUAAACUUAAGAGCGAUCACCACAAUAGCCUGUGUUUAGACAAUCUCCAUGCCUGUUUCUGUGUAAGUCACUCAGAAAGUUUGCCUGAACACCCAAUAACAUCAUCAGAGACAUUUCAAACUGCAAAAGAUGCUUCAACCCUGACAUCUAGAAAUCUUGACUGACAUCCCCUUAGGUUCAGAAACUUAUUUAUAAUUUGCUCCAACCAUUAACCACUGUUUUUAUUUGUUUCCAUAGAAAUGCCUCUUAUUAAAUACCUGAUUGCUGACAUUGUAGACCUAACUUUGAGAAUCUACCUGCAUCACCACCUCCUGAAAUGAGACACAAUUGUUUAACUUAACUGACUUAUUUUUAAGACUAAAAGAUUAAUUUAAUGACAUAAUGGAGCAGUCUGCCAGCUCAUAUUUUAAUAUGUGAAACUUCCAGGGAAGUUUCAGAGGGGGGAACUGUUGGAGCCCAGGAAAGGCUGCCCCAAAAUAUGUCACAACAACAUACUGAUUAUUUUAAACUAAAGUUACUUGUUCUGGCUUAAAUUUUUGACCCUCCUCUCUGUUCCCCCUGAAAGCAGGGAAUAAAUCUCCUGUGUGAAAUGUACCCUCCCCACACCCAGAGAUAGAGACAUCCUUAUCACCAAAGUUAGGGAAUUCAGGAUUGAGAAGCCUGUAUAAACAAACAUUGUUACUUUUACUAAUUUACUACCUCAAGCCUAAACUCUGCUCAAAUUCCUCACUAAUUACGUACCCUAAACCUAAGUUUUUUUAUUCUGUCAUUUCCUCACAAAUUUAUUGUUUCUUUGUAUAAAAAGAUAUAGAAACUGCCUGCUUUGUUCACUUGGAGGGCAUCAUUUCUCUAUGAUCUCCUGUGUGUAUGUAUUAAAUUGGUUUUUCUCCUGUUAAUUUGGUCUUACGUCAACUUUAUUAUUAGUCCAGCCAUAAGAACUCAAGAGGGGUAAAGGAGAGAAGAUCUCCCUCCCUGACAGAUGUUAACUAAACUUCUUGUGGUAAUUAGUUUGCAAUAUAUAUGUAUCUCAAAUCAUUAUGUUGUACACCUAAAGCUAAUACAAUGUUAUAGGUGAAUUAUAUUGCAAAGAAAUUUUUUAACAGUGAAAUAGACUGAGAUGGUGAGAUCUAAUAUUUUUAUUGGCAAGUGCAAAUUUAGUUCAUACAUGAAAUAUGUUACUAAAUUUGACUAAUAUUUAAAUUGAAAUGUAUUCUUUCUUUAAGGUGUGUUUGAAACUAUAGACUGAAUCCAGAAAAUAAAGAUUACUACUGGAUAUUACCAGAUUGUUACUAAAAGUAAUUUUGUUGUAUAGCAGAGUGGGGGAUUGUUAAAAAUGAUCCACUCCAGGUGUUAAUUAUGUAAGGUUCAUCUUGGUCUUAAAUCUCAAAUAAUUUGUUUUCCAUCUCCGUUUCUGGGAGGCAUCCAGUUGCUGACAGUCACUCAAGAAAGGAAGGCAGGCUCUCUUUAUUACCAAACUGGAUCCUGCUUUAGAGAAGCUGGGAGAGUAGUGCUGGGCUGGGAAAAGCUUCUCAGAGGUGGAGAAAAUGCGAUCGGCAGUUCCAGCAGAGUGUGCGGGCUCUCUCCCGCUUCCUCCAGCACUGGUGCCAGAGGAGACCAUGCUCCAGUUUCCUAAUCCUCUCCAAGGCCAAGCUCAUCUUGCUUCUGCAUCUUCCCUUCAUUUAAGGAGGCCCUGUUUGGGAAGAUCUUAGAGCACCUAACAAAUAGCAACUUUGGUCUGUGAGCUAGAGAGGCGUUCGAUUUGUGCAUCCAAGACAGAAGAGCAGGGUCAGGGAAGGGCUACCCAUUGAAAGUCCGGCGGUGAGUGUGUUCUGGCUACAACCUCACCCAUGAUAUAUGCAUCUGGUUAAAUCUAGGCAUAUGCUUCAAGAGUGGUAUAAUUUCAUCCCUCCUCUCUCUGCCAUGGAAUUUGGUCAGUUUUUACCCGUUGAAAGAAACUGACAAUGUUUCUGUCCCUUCUUGUUCGCAUUGUUGCAAUGUUUCUGUUCCUGUGGUUUGUAGUGGAAGCAAAGUUCCCACCCCCAAAUUGGAAGGCCUCUGGAAAAGCAACAACAUCCCUUCGUUACUAGCAGUAUAGCCAACAGUUACUAGCAGUAUAGCCAACUCCAUUCCCCAAUAGCCUCCAAGCUAGUAACAACUAUUACCAUUUACUAAGGAUAGAACUGCAUGUCAAACAGUUGUAUCUGCUUCAUUUCUAAUUCUUGCAGUAACUUCAACUUAUAGGCGAAGAAACUAAAGCUCAGAGAAGUCAACCAAAGUUGCUCAACCUCACCCAGCUAAUGAUAUGAACGGCAAGCCCACAUGUAGGGCUUAUGGAGUGCUGGGCACUCCUCCAGGCAUAGUAUAGAAAUGAGCUCACUAUUCCUCCCUUACAUCUUUUUUUCAAAGUUUUUGUAAAUUAUUUUUGAUUGUGGCAAAAUCCAUAUAACAUAGAAUUUACUUUCUGAACCAUUUUUAAAUGUACAUCUCCAUGGCAUUAAUUGCAUUCACAUUGUCGCGCUAGGCUCACCACAAUCCAUCUCCGGAAUUAUUUUCAUCUUAUAAAACUGAAACUCUGUACCCAUUAAAUAAUAGCUCCCCAUUCUCUCCUCUCCUCUUCCCCCAAAUAUUUUAAGGCAGAUACUAUUAUUAUCCCAACCCCACCCUACAGAUGAGGAAACUGAGACCCAGAGAGAUUCAGUAACUUUCCCAGAUCACAGCUAGUAUGUGGCAGAGCUGUAAUUCACAGCUAGACAAUCAGGCUCCGGAAGUCCAGUGCUUAGCCACUCUAGGGCCCCAGGGACAUCUAACAGUGUUAUGCUAUACUGUCUUUCUGCUAUUAACCUAUCCAGAAGACCAAGAAACGGGGACCUAGAAAGUUGAAACAAAUUGCAGAUAAAUCCUUGUAAAGGCAGAAGAGGGAUUUGCAUUCAGACCCCGUGGAUCUCAAGCUGCCUAGCCUGUGGCUUCCUGCAGGAUGAUUAGAUUAGAGCAGCGACCAUAUGCCCCUUGAGUCCCGCUCUCUGCUUCCAUCCAUACCCCAAAGCAGCUCAGGUCCUCUCCCCUCAGUCCUGUGUGAAGUCAUGGGCUCCAGCUUGCUUGUGAUGAAGGAAGUGAAUUGCAGGUUCUGGCCAGUGAGUAGUAGGCUGGGCCCCAACUGGGACAUCCUGACUUGACCCUUCUGUACCCUGAGGGGAUGCUGUCUGUGCUAGAAUAGCCUGUGCUCUCCAUAGCUGCUGAGGAAGCCCCUCUUCACCUUUCCAGGCCAGAGCUUACCUCUCUCACACUUCUGUCACCUAUCUAACACUGAAUGGAAGACCAGCUGGACCCUUACCUAGCACCUGCAUUCAAGUGGGUGGCGUCAAGGAGGUGGCACUGUCCUGCACACACGUUUCACAUCCUCAUCCUUAUUUACUUCUUCUAGCUUUUCCUUCCUGUUUCCAGCCCUCAAAAUGACCAGCCCUGAGGAAGAGCAGCUUCACUAUGACAGUUGAUAGGAGGUUUUUCCAGUUGAUCAAUGUCAGCUUGGCACCCUUCCUGGGUAAGGUAGAACCUUAGAGCUCUAAUUCGUCAGCACAUUCUAUGAGCUUUCCCCAGAAUAAAUGCCACCACUAACCUCUGCUCACCCCUCCACGAACAACACCCUAGUCCAAGCCCCAUGUUCCUCGCCUGGCGAGCACUCAGACCUCUCUCAACCCUGACACCUCCCAGGCACAAGUGGCCAGAGUCAGCCUUUAAAAAGUCAGUCAGAGCCUCUAAGAUCAGGAACAAGACAAGGACGCUCACUUUCACCACUUAUAUUCAGCAUAGUACUGGAGUUCUAGCUGGAGCAAUUAGGCAAUAAAUAAAUAAAUAGAUAGCAUCCAAGUGGGAAAGGAAGAAGUAAAAUUAUCUCUGUUCACAGGCGACAUGAACUUGUAUGUAGAAAACCCUAAAGAUUCCACAAAAAUCUGUUAGACCUAAUAUACUCAUUUAGCAAAGUUGAAUCAACACACAAAAAUCAGUUGUAUUUCUAUACACUAACAAUGAACAAUCUGAAAAGGAAAUUAAUAUAACAAUGCUACUUACAAUAGCAUCAAAAAGAAUAAAAUACUUCAGGAAUAAACUUAACUAAGGAAGUGAAAGACUUGUACACUGAAAACUAUAAAACAUUGCUGAAAGAAAUUAAAGAAGACACAAAUAAAUGAAAAUACACCCUGGUCAUGGAUUGGAAGACUUAAGAUUGCUAAAAUGUCCACGCCACCCAAAGCUAUCUACAGAUGCAGUGCAAUCCCUACCAAAAUACCAACAAGGUUUUUUCAGAAAGAGAAAAACCCACCCUAAAAUUCAUAUGGAAUUUCAAGAACAAAGCUGGAGGACUUAUACUUCCUGAUUUCAAAACUUACUACAAAGCCACAGUAAUCAAAACAGUGUGGUGCUAGUACAAAGAGAGACAUGUGGACCAGUAGAAUAGAAUAGAGAGCCUAGAAAUAAACGCUUGCAUAAAUGGUCAAAUGAUUUUUGACAAAAGUGCCAAGACCACUCAAUGGGGAUAAAUCAGUCUUUUCAGCAAAUGAUUGUUGGGAAAACUGAAUAUUGACAUGCAAAUCAUGAAGUUGGACGCUUACCUUUCACCAUACACAAAAUCAAAAGUUAAUUCAAAAUGAGUCAAAGACCUACACACAAGAACUAAAACAAUAAAAUUCUUAGAAGAAAACAUUGAGGGAAAGCUUCACGGUGAGAUUUAUCAGUGAUUUCUUGGAUAUCAUAAGAAAAGCAUAGGCAAGAAAAGAAAAAAAUAGAUAAAUCGGCUACAUCAAAAUCUAAACCUUCUGUGUAUCAAAGUACACAACUACUAGAGUGAAAAGUGAACCCAUGAAUGGGAGAAAGUAUUUGAAAAUCAGAUAUCUGAUGAGGGGUUAAUAUCUAGAAUAUAUAAAGAACUCCUACAACUCAAUAACAACAAAACAAAUGAUGCAAUUAAAAAAUGAGCAAAGAACUUGAGUAGACAUUUCUCCAAAGAAGACGAACAAACGACUAACAAACACAUGAAAAGAUGCUCAACGUCACUAAUCAUUAGGGAAAUGCAAAUCCAAACCACAAUGAGUUACCACCUCAUAACUAUUAGGAUGGCUAUUAUUAAAAAAAAAAAACAACCCAGAAAAUUUGUCAAUAAGAAUGUGGAGAAAUUAGAACCCUUGUGCAUUGCUGGUGUGAAUAUACAAUGGUGCAGCCUCUGUGGAAAACUGUAUGGUGGUUCCUCAAAUAGUUAAAUAUGGAAUUCCCACAUGAUCUAGCAAUUCUACUUCAGGGUAUAUAUUCAAAAGAAUCGAAAGCAGAACUCAGAGAUAUUUGUACACCCAUGUUUAUAGCAGCAUUAUUCACCAUAGCCAAAUGGUGGAGACAACCCAAAUGUCCAUUAAUAGAUGAAUGGAUAAAAUAAAAUGUGGUAUAAUCCAUAAAAUGGAAUAUUAUUCAGCCUUAAAAAGGAGAGAAAUUCUGACACAUAUGACAACAUGGAUGGACCUUGAGAACAAUAUGCUAAGUGAAAUAAACUAGUCACAAAAGGAUAAAUACUGUAGAUUCCACUUAUAUGAGUUACCUAGAGUAGUCAUAUUCGUAGAAACAGAAAGCAGAAUGGUUGAUUGCCAUGACCUGAGGGGAGGAGGGAAUGGGGAGUUGCUUAGUAGAUACAGAGUUCCAGUUUUUCAAUAUGCAGGGAGUUCUGGAGAUGGAUGGUGGUGAUGGUACACAACAAUGUGAAUAUACUGAACCAUAUACUGAAAAAUUAUUAAGAUGGGAACUUUAUGUUAUACGUAUUUUACAACAAAAAAGAAAAGUCAAUCAGACCAUCUUGCAUGAUGUCUCUGAGUCCCUCGUGGUUUUCCACCUCACUCAGAAUAAAAUCCAAACUCCGUCCCUGAGCUGAGAGGGCCCCAGGUUCAGCCACACAGGCUCUGCUUUCCCUGAACGUGCCCAGUACAUCCCGUCUUGGGGCCCUUGCUCUUCCUCUUUGUUCCAUCUUCAUGGCAGGCUCUUUUCCCAGAUAAUUGCAUGGCCCAUUCCUUUAUUUCAUUCAGGACUCCACAUAAACAUCACUUCCUUUGACCAUUAUAUUUAAAAUAGCACAUCCCUCAAACCCCGUAUCAUACUUUAUUUUCUUCACAACUUUCUUCAGUAUCUGGCAUUAUCUUAACCAUUCAUUAAUGUCUUUAUUGUCUGUCUCCAUCACUAGAAUGAGAACUCCACAAGGCUAGAGACUUUGCCUUGCUCAUUUCUGUGUCCCCGCUGCCUAGAACAGUGCUGGCCCACAGUAGAUGUUCAGUAAAGAUGAGUCAAAGGGACUAAUGAAGGAAGAAUACUGCACAACAGACAUGUUGGUGAAAUUGGUGGAGGAGGUAGAACUGGGAGCUACCAAACGGUGGAAUCAGGAUCCCAAAAGACCUCGAGAGGUUGGUAUGCUGGGCUAAAGUCAUACAAUGAAAUUUAACAAGGGUACUUGUAAAAAGUUGCACUUAGGUCAACAGCACAAAUCAGCACAGGAUGAAGAGGAAAUGGCUUGAGAGCAGCAGCAUCACUGGCAGACUUGGAAGCUGCACAUCAGCAGGGAGCUGGCAAUGGGGUCGAUGAGGCCUGCAGGAAGACGCUGUGGUCUUAGCCCACGUUGGAAGAACAGAGUGAUCUGGCUUCUGUCCUUUGUGUGGGAUACUCCAUGGGGCAGUCCCGUCAGGCUGGGGCUUUAAGCUUUAAGUAGACAGAGGUUAUUCAACUCCAUUCUGAGCACAAUGACCAGAACAGCAAAGGCAUUCAAAAUCACAUCCUAUAAGAAAGAAUAGAAGGAUCUGGAAACAGUUAGCCCAUAGAUGGUAGAUCUGGAAGCCAGAUAGAGCUAAGUCAAAUUCUGGUUCUGACUUUUAUUAGCUGCAGCACAUGGACAAAAUUCUUAACCUCCAUGGUCCUUAGUUGUCCUAUCAUCAAAGCCAGUGUUGUAAAAGGUAAAAUGUAACUGCUUGGUAAGUACAAAGUUAUCAUACACAGGGACCCUUACCCCACAGAAAAUCUGAAGAGUCAUCCGUUUAAAAUAUAUAUCCAAUUGUCUUCACUGAAAUUGUCAAUGAAAUGUCCUUUACCAGAGUUCAAACAUCAUACGUAAAUUUACCAUUUAAGUUUAAUGCCCCCUUUUGGUGAAUUUUUUUAUCCGUGGUGGGAUCUCAAUUUGAGGCAACACGUAUCUGAUCAGAACUAAAACUAGGUUACCAGAGGGGAAGGGGAGGAGGCAGGAGGGUAAAAGGGGUGAUUAGGCACAUGUGUGCGGUGAUGGAUUGUAGUUAGACUUUGGGUGGUGAACAUGAUGUACACAGAACAUAAUCAGCACAGAAUUUGAAAUAUAUCAUGAUGUACACCCAAAAGUUAUAUAAUGUUAUAAUCCAAUGUUACUGCAAUGAAAAAAAAUUAAAAGAAUUAAGACUAAAUAUAAGUGAUGGAAUAUCACGAUAAUAGGAGCAGAUGGAAUAUCGAGAACAGAAAUAGCUCCAAACAAAUAAUGUCUUUUGUGUCUCUUCUGUUAGGUUGUUUGUAACCUAAAACAGUUCUGUCCUGGACAGUCUUGGUCCAGCAACCUUAGUAGAUCCCAUGCUUGCGUCUUGACCAAAUUCAUCUUGAAGAGCUUGGUUUUAAAUAACCUGUAGGUUGUACCAUUCAAGAGUCUUACAUUUGGGAGCACAGAGUUAAUUUGCUCUCUGGUGGGUACUCAAGGGUCUGCUCCCCGUCGAGCUGCUGCAGUGUGUAAGAGCAGGCUCAAUGGGUGUCCUUCCACUGGGAUCUGAGUGCUAUUUUUUCUUGGUAUUCCUCUUGUCUCUGGUUUGUAGUCCAUGGCGUGGUCCUCAGUGAGGGGUCAGGGGCAAGACAAGGGCAGCUUGCUGAUGAGAACACUGGCCAGCUCAGUCUAGUUUUUACAAAAGUGGACAACGUCAGAAUGUAACAGCUGAGAUUAGGGUGGCCAUACAACAUGCGAGCCAAACUAGGACACUUUUGAGAGUGAAGUGAGGGGGUGGGUAUGAAGAAUUAUGCUGGCACAAUGUGUUAGUCAGGGCUCUCCGGAGAAACAGAACAAAUAGGAAAUAGAUAUAUGUAUAAAUUAGAAGAAAUUUGGCUUAUGUUGUUGUGGAGGUUGAGAAGUCCCAAAUCUUCAGUCAGCGAGCUGGAGACCUAAGAUUGGUGGUGGUGUAGUUUCAGUUCAAAUCCAAAGGCCUGAGAACCAGGAGAGCCAACAAGCGUAAGUUCCAGUCUGAGGGGAGGAGAACAAUGUCCCAGCUCAGUCAGGCAGAGAGAGACAGAAAUAGGGAGAGAAUUCUGCCUUAUUUGCCUUUCAUUGUUGAGGCCUUCAACUGAUUGGAUGAGGCCCACCCAAUUAGGAGUGCAAUCAGCUUUACUCAGUCAGAGUAAGAUUCGAAUCUUAAUCUCUUCCAGAAACACCCUCACAGAUACACCAAAGUAACAUUUAACCAAAUAUCUGGGCAUCCUGUGGCCCAGUCAAGUUGACACAGAAAAUUAACCAUUACAGACAACAAGCAGAAACCAGGACUGGAAAAACUAAGAUAGAUGGUCACCCCAAGCAGAGUUCUCUAACGGGGAUAUAACACUAAAAUGCAGAGGUCUUCGAAGAACUGUUUCAAAAGGAUUCAUUAUUUUUCUUGUGCAGAGGAACGAAUUCUCAUGACUAUAAAAGGUGAAAGAGAAGACCAAGACAUUUCUGUUUCACCUACUGGAUUAGCCAGCUUGUUUUUGACAGUUGUAGCAACCUGUUUCACUUUUCCCAGGUUUGGGAAAGGUGGAUGUAGAUAUGGGUAGUAAAACUGUGAAGUGGCCCCAGUAGCCUGCCUGAUAGCUAGAGGAACUUGUCCGUUAAGCAAGGCUCUGUGCGAGGGGUGCACUGAAGGCCUUCUCCAGGUGGGGCCGAACGACAGACUGUGCUGAUGUCUUUGCAACAGGACAAAGGGGUGCUUUGCCCCAGGGGAGUGACUUCACCCACUCUGAAAAUGCCCUCGCUCGGAGGACGUGUUCGGUAAGUGCAGGAGUCCAAUUCACGUGGCCUCGAUGGUGCUGCUCAGUGAGUCUGCCACACCUGGCGGAUACCCUAGGGUUAUGCUGGUUGCAGGUGAGACAACUAGUCAUAUGAAGGAAGAUUUGAUAAAACUGCUGCACCCCUGGGUGGUCUUGUACUCAGGUGCUGCUUCUCGCCUUUCCGGGCUCUGCACGUUCCCAGAGCCCAGGGUAUGUGUAUUCAUUCUGGGCACCACCAGGUGGCUGCUUGGGGGAAAUUAAAGAUGGGGGGAUUCCCAAAAACCCCUGUCAGGGUCUCAAUUUGGGGCUGGAUCUUGGAAACAGCAACUAAAACUAAACUAAAAACUAGAGGAAGGGGAUUUUUUAGGGCAGGGAAACUAUUCUGUGUGAUACAAUAAUCGUGGACACACGUCAUUAUACAUUUUUCAAAACUCAUAGAAUGUACAACACAAAGAAUGAACCCUAACGUAAACUAUGGAUUUUAAUUAAUAAUAACGUAUCAAUACUGGUAAAUCACUUACAACAAAUGUACCACACUAAUACAAGACGUAAAUAACAGAGGAAACUGUAGGGUUGGUGGGGUAGAAGGAGCAGAUGGAAACUCCGUAAACCUAAAACUACUCUGAAAAAUAAAGUCUAUUAAUUAAAAAACUAAACGAGACAGAGAGGAAUUGUCAGUUUAUUAAGAUAAAAGCAAAGGUGUCAGAAAAUAAGAAAUGUUCAUUGUCUUGGCUGUGUUAUUAACUAGCCUAAUAUAUUUUGUAACAGCCACGCCUGAAGCUAAUAUUACAAGCAUUACGAUUUUACAUCAAGUUGGGAAGUACCCAAAAGCUGAAUCCGAGUCCAUGCAGAUUUUUCCAGAAGCCAGAGGACACCCCAGGGUGAGGAUCAUCUCCACCCGCUCUGUCUCAGCCACAGAAGGAAAAUGACGUGUCUCUGCGGGGCGCGAAGAGCAAGCUGCGCCGCUGGGAGCCCGCGGUCCCCUGCUCCAUCAGCAGGGCGCCUCUGGGUCUGUCAUUGUGGUGAAGCUGGGACCCGGCCUCCAGUGGGGCUACACUGCGUGGCCCCAGGCUAAUUCGGUACAGGUGCUGUGCCACUGCGUUGGGGUCCCCUCCCUGCAGGCUCUGACGGGCCAUCAUCUCGUCCUCCCCAGGGCUUCUCCCAUGCCUUGGCGGAAUGGCUUUGUGCCCCAACAAUGUGUAAAUGCCGAUGCUAUUUAACCCUUUGAAACUCUAAUUUUAUAAACAUAAUUCAUCUUAUCAAUCAUGCUAUUAUACAAUGUUUAUAAUAGAUCUAUUUUCUCUAUCUUCAUUGAGCAUCAUAAAGAUAUGUACGUUUCUAUGGACAAGAAUACACAGGCCAAAACCACAUGAGCAUGUACUUUACUUUUCCUUUAUUUCUAAAUUUAAAAUUCUUUGUUUGGAAAAUUUUCAGAUACAUCAAGUUUACUCCCUAACUACCUCAGUUGAGACUUAGAGGUCUCAAGUCAAUUAGGGAACCUUAGGAAAUGUGUUUUAAGUUGAUAUUAAAGAAAAUAUAAUCACCGUUAUUGUGACAAAUUUGCUGGAGAGACAACACCCAGGACAGUGAAGAUGGAGCGAUUCUCUAGGUUCAUGUAUUCUGCAGUGUUUUACACGAAGCCGUUAGUCGUUCAAUACACAUGCUUACAUCUACAGUCUUAAAUAUUUCAUGUAAGUAACAAGCACCUCUGACAAGUAUAAGGAAUUUGGUAUAUUCUAUUUAAUUAAGCUUGUGGUGAGAUGAUAAUUCCAAAGUCUUGCAUAAACUCAAAAGUUAUAUUUAAAUUAUAUUGCACAUUGUGACAAAAUCAGAGAGAAGAUAUAUAACUAUCUUUUAAUCCAAAAUUCAUAAUUGAUUAGGAGUAUUAAGUGAACUCAAAAUGUGGAUUUUUAUAUAGUUUUCAUGUCCUUAUUUUUACUAAGUAAUAUUAAAAUUCUUAAAAUUUUACCACA
rnacentral:lncRNA from 1 species